UACGGGGGGAGCAAGCGUUGUUCGGAUUUACUGGGCGUAAAGGGCGCGUAGGCGGCAUGGCAAGUCAGGAGUGAAAGGCCUGGGCUCAACCGAGGAACUGCUUUUGAUACUGCCAUGCUAGAGUGCAGAAGGGGCAAUCGGAAUUCUUGGUGUAGCGGUGAAAUGCGUAGAUAUCAAGAGGAACACCUGAGGUGAAGACGGGUUGCUGGGCUGACACUGACGCUGAGGCGCGAAAGCCAGGGGAGCAAACGGG
rnacentral:rRNA from 1 species